GGGAGGUCUUUGUUUUCCAUAACCGCCCCUUCCCCCAGAGUGGGAGGCCCGCGCCCGCACCCAAGCCGGCUCCCCCAGCGCGGGCUCGGGGAGGUUGCCGCGCCCCGAGUCCCUCGGGCAAAGUUCAGUACCGCUGCAACUUGCCUGGGGGAAAAAACAAAAAACACUAGUACCCGGCGGGUGAGGGAGAGCAGGUCAGAAGGCAUCGCAGAGAGGCAGAACGGCGAGAUGACGGCUGCGCUGGCGGAGGAGGAGGCCGGUCCCAAAGACCUCCUAUCGCUCAGAGCCCGGCCCGCCCUUACUGAGGACGCCGCCGCCUGGCGCCAGGCCAGAGCAUCGGGGCGACUGUGCUUUCUGAGCGGGUUAUGGGUCCAGUCUUCCAGGCUCCCGUGCCUUCGCGCCAGUUUUUGCUGGUCGAUUGGACAGGGCUCGGGAUGAAUGGCUCGUCCUCACAGCUCUUUGGAAUGAAAGCCACACUUCAACUGUUGACAGCUCCGCUCCCUGGUCCAGGAAUCAGUUUGUUUUCCCGCUUUUCUUAUCAAAUUUCCACAACUGACUUUAGAUUUUUCCUGUGGGUCUCGCACAUGCCCCGAGCAGAUUAUAUUAUUGACUUUGGCAUCGUGGAGGAGAAGGCUACUCAUUUAGCGGUGUGUGGUUGCUUGCCUUAUCUUCCUUCUUGAGAGAUUAGGCGGCGUUAUUCCAUAAUACAUGAAGGCUUUAUUUGUGAGCAGCGACACACGCCCCUGCCAGUCGCGGCAGAUAAAAUUAAAUAGAGGGUCAUCCUUGUAUCUUCAGAGCGCUUGCUUAUUACCAUAAUAGUAAGUAAUGGGCAUUUGAGCCCUUUCUCUGUGUUCACAUGCUCUUAACCCUCAGAGCUCUGGCAUAGGAGGCAUCAUUUUCCUCAGUUUCAGGGAGGGUACCAAGGUCUGAAUUUGAACCAGACUUAUUUUAAAAUCUUUCCAUAGUCUAGGAAAACAGUUAUGGGCACGGAGGCUAAGCGAUCAAGACUAUUAGGAGUUGUUUAUAAUUACAGGAAAUCUAAGAUUAUGGAAUCAGUUUUUAGGAUAAAAGGAGUUAGAAAUGGGUGCAGUGUAGGGGUUUGGAAGCACAGAUGAAAAUCUUGUCGUUUGGGUCAGACUCUGAUUCUGCUCAUAAUGGGCUACUACGAACUACUCACUUCCCCAGACU
rnacentral:lncRNA from 1 species